rnacentral:rRNA from 1 species
UACGUAGGGUGCAAGCGUUGUCCGGAAUUAUUGGGCGUAAAGAGCUCGUAGGCGGUCUGUUGCGUCGGCUGUGAAAACCCGAGGCUCAACCUCGGGCCUGCAGCCGAUACGGGCAGACUAGAGUUCGGCAGGGGAGACUGGAAUUCCUGGUGUAGCGGUGAAAUGCGCAGAUAUCAGGAGGAACACCGGUGGCGAAGGCGGGUCUCUGGGCCACGCCUGACGCUGAGACGCGAAAGCGCGGGGAGCGAACGGG